GGCUCAUUAUAUAAGUUAUCGUUUAUUUGAUAGUACCUUACUACUUGGAUAACCGUGGUAAUUCUAGAGCUAAUACAUGCUAAAAAUCCCGACUUCGGAAGGGAUGUAUUUAUUAGAUUAAAAACCAAUGCCCUUCGGGGCUCCUUGGUGAUUCAUGAUAACUUCGCGAAUCGCAUGGCCUUGCGCCGGCGAUGGUUCAUUCAAAUUUCUUCCCUAUCAACUUUCGAUGUUUGGGUAUUGGCCAAACAUGGUUGCAACGGGUAACGGAGGGUUAGGGCUCGACCCCGGAGAAGGAGCCUGAGAAACGGCUACUACAUCCAAGGAAGGCAGCAGGCGCGCAAAUUACCCAAUCCCGACACGGGGAGGUAGUGACAAUAAAUACUGAUACAGGGCUCUUUAGGGUCUUGUAAUUGGAAUGAGUACAAUUUAAAUCCCUUAACGAGGAACAAUUGGAGGGCAAGUCUGGUGCCAGCAGCCGCGGUAAUUCCAGCUCCAAUAGCGUAUAUUAAAGUUGUUGUGGUUAAAAAGCUCGUAGUUGAACCUUGGGCCUGGCUGGCCGGUCCGCCUCACCGCGUGCACUGGUCCGGCCGGGCCUUUCCCUCUGUGGAACCCCAUGCCCUUCACUGGGCGUGGCGGGGAAACAGGACUUUUACUUUGAAAAAAUUAGAGUGCUCCAGGCAGGCCUAUGCUCGAAUACAUUAGCAUGGAAUAAUAAAAUAGGACGUGCGGUUCUAUUUUGUUGGUUUCUAGGACCGCCGUAAUGAUUAAUAGGGACAGUCGGGGGCAUCAGUAUUCAAUUGUCAGAGGUGAAAUUCUUGGAUUUAUUGAAGACUAACUACUGCGAAAGCAUUUGCCAAGGAUGUUUUCAUUAAUCAGGAACGAAAGUUAGGGGAUCGAAGACGAUCAGAUACCGUCGUAGUCUUAACCGUAAACGAUGCCGA
rnacentral:rRNA from 1 species